CCUACGGGUGGCUGCAGUGGGGAAUUUUGCACAAUGGGCGAAAGCCUGAUGCAGCAACGCCGCGUGUGUGAUGAAGGUCUUCGGAUCGUAAAGCACUUUCGACCGGGAAGAACAAGUCUGGCCACACCAGACCCUGACGGUACCGGGAGAAGAAGCACCGGCUAACUCUGUGCCAGCAGCCGCGGUAAUACAGAGGGUGCAAGCGUUAUUCGGAAUUAUUGGGAGUAAGGCGCGUGUGGGCGGCUGAGGAGAAAGCCCUCGGCUCAACCUAGGAAGUGCACCCGAAACUGCUGAGCUUGAGUGCCGGAGAGGAUGGCGGAAUACCCCAAGUAGAGGUGAAAUUCGUAGAUAUGGGGUGGAACACCGGUGGCGAAGGCGGCCAUCUGGACGGUAACUGACGCUGAGACGCGAAAGCGUGGGGAGCAAACAGGAUUAGAUACCCCGGUAGUC
rnacentral:rRNA from 1 species